rnacentral:rRNA from 1 species
AUACGGAGGGAGCAAGCGUUAUUCGGAAUCACUGGGCGUAAAGGACGCGUAGGCGGGUUUGUAAGUCAGGUGUGAAAUCCUACAGCUCAACUGUAGAACUGCACUUGAAACUACAGACCUAGAGGAUGGAAGGGGCAGAUGGAAUUAGUGGUGUAGGGGUAAAAUCCGUAGAUAUCACUAGGAAUACCGAAAGCGAAGGCGAUCUGCUGGGACAUUACUGACGCUGAGGCGUGAAAGCGUGGGGCGCAAACCGGAUUAGAUACCCGAGUAGUCC